CGCCAUUUCUUUUCUCUUUUUUCUCGAUGGUUCUCAUUGUUCGUUAGACUCUCCCGCGCUGCAGUUGUUAAAUGUCUCUGCUCUGAUGAGCUUGUGUUAUUUGGUUACCAACCUGUUAAAUGACAUAAAUGUGGAAUGAUUUCGUGUUGAACGGUGUUUAACCUACACUGUGUAUUUUCUUUCAUGAAAUUUGAAACUGUUCCUGUGCGUGCAAUAGCAGAUUCGUCAAUUUUGGAGAAACAGAAAAGCCACGUGAUCAGACAGGAGAAUUGUAAUUCGUGGUAUUUAAUGACCGGCAGUUCGCCGAAAAGACGAAGCGAUCGGAGUGCCAAUAUCGUGUGGGUGUGGUAAACCGCCAGUUGCCGUUCUGGAAUCAACAAAGGAUGUUGUCAGUCAUCAAUACUUUGUUCAUGCAAAACAAAUUGUGAGUCUACUUCUACUGCUGAAUUCCCACCUACAUGGUCUCAACUCUCAAGAGGUCACGAACUAAAAUAAGUAGGAGCCUGCUGGAUACAGAUAUCAUAUCCGCCCACAAUUCACUUCGUCACCUUGAUCGUUACCGUUUGACAGGGGGUAAGGAAGAAAAAAGAAACAAAAAUAGCCGUCUUGGGGCGUUCAAUCGGGAUUGGCAGAACAGUUCAAAAGUGGGAAUCGUGCUGCAAGAUAUUGACGUUAACAAACGUCGGGCUGUCUUGGCGGUUUCGCCAACUGUCGAGUCGAUGCUGGUUGCCAACUGGAAGAAUUCUAACGUGGAUACUUCAGCUGGGGGUUACAGAUAGACCUGGAACCGGAAACUAAGGUGUCGCAAUGGCAUCAGUAAUUGGUGAUAUUAAGUUAAUGUCAGAACCAACUCAACUUGAUCCCACAAAUAGUUGAAGAGUCCACGCCCAGCUGCGGAUGGCUCCAACCAGUUCUCCGUCACUCGGACCAUCUCGUACCUGGAGAUUGAAAAAAAGUACUGGGGUAUUCGAGCAUGACUCCUCCCUUCAACGGCCCCGAUAAUCCUUUUGGGUUACCACUCCAACGCGUCUUGAACAAUUGCAAAACGACAAAAACAAAACGCGUAAUUCAAUUGUUACAUCGACUUCGAAGUUAAUCGUCACAUCGUUUUUUUACCCAGAUGACGCGGAGGUGUUGGCCAUUGAGAGUAUUCGGCGUCAACGACAGGACUCUACUUGCCAAAAUGAUGGACCAAACGAAAAUAGGAUGGCGCGAUUGGAUUCGUCGGGAGGUUAUGCCAUCAUUAUCACGGAGCAAGGCGGCUGACAGUAAAUGGUAUUUAAGUUUCGACAUAGCUAUUCACUUGUUUAUUUAUGUCGCUGUCCUGACUGCCAAAGCCGUUAUCGAUUCCACGAAAAUGUCAGUUGCUGUUUGGCUCGUUGACUGGUAUCUUUAAUCGCAUGAAUAUUGAUUCUAUUGGUUAGGUGGUCUACAAAAAUUAUU